rnacentral:rRNA from 1 species
AAUCUGCCGGAUUGAAGCAUCUUAGUAGGCAGAAGAAAAGAAAUCAAUAGAGAUUCCGUCAGUAAAGGCGAUCGAAAACGGCAUAGGGCAAUCCGAAU